GCUAGCGGGAGGCUAAUACAUGCAAGUCGAACGGUAACAGGGCAGAACUUCGGUUCAGCCGCUGACGAGUGGCGCACGGGUGAGUAACGCGUACAUAACCUGCCUUCAAGAGAGGGAUAGCCCUGGGAAACUGGGAUUAAUACCUCAUGGUAUUGCUAAGUCGCAUGGCUGUGCAAUUAAAGUUUCGGCGCUUGAAGAUGGAUGUGCGUGCCAUUAGCUAGUUGGUAAGGUAACGGCUUACCAAGGCAACGAUGGCUAGGGGGCGUGAGAGCGUGACCCCCCACACGGGUACUGAGACACGGACCCGACUCCUACGGGAGGCAGCAGUAAGGAAUAUUGGACAAUGGAGGCAACUCUGAUCCAGCCAUCCCGCGUGCAGGAUGACUGCCCUACGGGUUGUAAACUGCUUUUAUUUGGGAAGAAACUUGUUUAUUUACUGAACAGUUGACGGUACCUUAUGAAUAAGCACCGGCUAACUCCGUGCCAGCAGCCGCGGUAAUACAGAGGGUGCAAGCGUUAUCCGGAAUCACUGGGUUUAAAGGGAGCGUAGGCGGCAUGAUAAGUCAGAGGUGAAAGGCUGUAGCUUAACUAUGGAAUUGCCUUUGAUACUGUUGUGCUUGAAUCGAGUUGAGGUCAGCAGUAUGUGACAUGUAGCGGUGAAAUGCAUAGAUAUGUUAUAGAAUACCAAUUGUGAAGACAGCUGGCUGGACUUGUAUUGACGCUGAGGCUCGAAAGCGUGGGGAGCAAACAGGAUUAGAUACCCUGGUAGUCCACGCCCUAAACGAUGUUUACUCGAUGUUGGCUUAUAAAGUCAGCGUCCAAGGGAAACCCAUUAAGUAAAACCACCUGGGGAGU
rnacentral:rRNA from 1 species